GAAAAGAAACUAACAAGGAUUCCCCUAGUAACUGCGAGUGAAGCGGGAAAAGCUCAAAUUUUGAAUCUGGCGGUCAUUUCGGCCGUCCGAGUUGUAAUCUAGAGAAGCGUCUUCCGCGCUGGCCCGUGUACAAGUCUCCUGGAAGGGAGCGUCAUAGAGGGUGAGAAUCCCGUCUUUGACACGGACUACCAGUGCUAUGUGAUGCGCUCUCGACGAGUCGAGUUGUUUGGGAAUGCAGCUCAAAUCGGGUGGUAAACUCCAUCUAAAGCUAAAUACAGGCGAGAGACCGAUAGCGAACAAGUACCGUGAGGGAAAGAUGAAAAGAACUUUGGAAAGAGAGUUAAACAGUACGUGAAAUUGCUGAAAGGGAAACGCUCGAUGUCAGUCGCGUCGGCCAGGGAUCAACCUCGCUUCGUUGCUGGGUGCACUUUCUGGUCGACGGGUCAGCAUCGGUUUUGGUCGUCGUACAAUGGCGGAGGGAACGUGGCACUCUUCCGAGUGUGUUAUAGCCUUUCGUCGCAUGCGGCGGUCGGGACCGAGGAACUCAGCAACGACCUCCGGGUCUGUGCUUAGGAUGCUGGCAUAAUGGCCUUGAGCGACC
rnacentral:rRNA from 1 species